AGGCUGUCUCCAUGCGUGAUGUCACCAGGCAGAAGCAGGAAAUAAACUGAAGGAAACACAUGAGAGUGAAGGAAGCAUUUUAUUAUACAGAAUACAGUUUAAAAUGGCAAAUUGGAGUGAUGAGGAGGUGAGGGAGCUGCAAAGGAUCAGAGGGGAUGAAGAAAUUGCUAGACAAAUCACUGGGACAGUGACGGAUGCAGUAAUCUACAAAAACAUGGAACUAAAGAAUAAUCCACAUAUCACAGUGAUUCAGCUAGGUUGUGCGAUAUGUCUGAAACUGGGGAUAAAUCAGACCUGAAGAAGGACCAAGUAACCAGUGUACUCAGAGCCGCCUGCUGGAGAGAUCACAGAGUGCAGGCUGCUGAUCAGCCAGCUGCUGCCACCUGCUGGUAACAAGCCAAGCUACAGGCGCCCUAUUUCAUGACAUUACCACUAUUCCUAUUACAUGCACAGUAGCAUUACAGCAUUUGUUUGUACA